rnacentral:tRNA from 1 species
UGCCCUCAUAGUUAAAUGGAUAUAACAAGCCCCUCCUAAGGGCUAGUUACAAGUUCGAUUCUUGUUGGGGGUGU